UGAAAUGGUGUGGCUCGUGUGGGUUGUGUGGUGUGUCUGUGAUUAUGAAGAUUGAGGAGUAUUUAUAGAUUUUUUUAAUUUAAACCGGUUCGGUUUGGUUCAGUUCGGGUUGCUCGUUUAAGUAUUAUAAAACCAAAACUGAAUCGAACCAGAAGUUUUUCUAAAUAUUCUAAUCGGUUUUUUUAUGGUUCGGUUAAUUGUUUUUUAUUUUUCUCAGUUUAAUCAAUUUUUUUGUUUACCUCUAAUAAAAAGAUUACUCCAUUGUCAACUAUUUCUUCAUCUUUUAUAUUUUAUAUUUUUUAGAUUUAAUCUCUAUUAUUUUGAUUAUUAUUUAUUUUAUUUGAGAUAAUUUAUGAAAUUAUUUUUUUUUAUUAAUUUCAUUCUCAUUCAACUUUUUAAUUUAUAAGAUUUAUUCCUUAUUAUUUUAAUAAACUUGAAAAAAAUUAAACAUUUAGGGUUGUGGAUAGUGCAAGGGUGUUGUAUGAUCGUAGAGGAGGAAAGAACCGUACUUAUGCCUUCCUUUCAUUUUCAUCUUCUGCAGAACGCGAUGCUGCACUUUCAAUGAAUGGAGCAGACUUCCAUGAUCGUGUUUUAGUUGUUAAAAGAGGGGUUGAGAGACGACCAAGCUCUGACUGAGAUUUUGCUGCUUGCAUAUAUGUAAGGAGGCUGGACAAAUACAAUAGCUCGAAGCAUUCUCCUUACCUGAAACAUUGGCAGAGGGUUUGCUUUGUCAUCCUCGUUCCUUCAAAUUCAAGUUUUGUAUCUCACACUGAAGUUUGAGUACCCGUCAAAGUUUUGUAGGCAUCAACUUUAUAUUAAAAGUACAUGAGAAAAUCCAAGUAAAUCUAAGUAAAAUUGGUUUUAGAUUCUUGGUAGGUGAUUCAUGAUUGCAUAUUCAUGUGCUCUGAUAUACUCUCGUAGCCUCUUGUUUAUGUAUUACGAGAUUGAUUACUUAGCUGAUUUAUUCUGUAAGACGCCAGUAGAAGACAGCAGCUGCCAAAAUUUUCCCUGGAUUUGAGCAUGGAGUUGUUUUCUGAGCAAAUUAGGCACCAUUCUUCCAACUGAAACCUUUUCCUUCUGCGUGUAUUUUUUCAGAAUGGAAACUACAAUUGAGAUUUGAUUUUCUUGAUUA